UACGGGGGGGGCAAGCGUUGUUCGGAUUCAUUGGGCGUAAAGAGCGUGUAGGCGGCCAGGUAGGUCCGUUGUGAAAACUCGAGGCUCAACCUCGAGACGUCGGCGGAAACCCUCUGGCUAGAGUCCGGAAGAGGAGAGUGGAAUUCCUGGUGUAGCGGUGAAAUGCGCAGAUAUCAGGAAGAACACCCGUGGCGAAGGCGGCUCUCUGGGACGGUACUGACGCUGAGACGCGAAAGCGUGGGGAGCAAACAGG
rnacentral:rRNA from 1 species